CCUACGGGAGGCAGCAGUAGGGAAUAUUGCUCAAUGGGGGAAACCCUGAAGCAGCAACGCCGCGUGGAGGAUGAAGGUCUUCGGAUUGUAAACCCCUUUUGUUAGAGAAGAUAAUGACGGUACCUAACGAUUAACCACUGGCUAAUUCCGUGACAGCAGCCGCGGUAAUACGGAGGGUGCAAGCGUUACUCGGAAUCACUGGGCGUAAAGAGCGCGUAGGCGGGUUAGCAAGUCAGAUGUGAAAUCCUAUGGCUUAACCAUAGAACUGCAUUUGAAACUGUGAAUCUAGAGUGUAGGAGAGGUAAGUGGAAUUCUUGGUGUAGGGGUGAAAUGCGUAGAGAUCAAGAGGAACACUAGUGGCGAAGGCGACCUGCUGGAACAUAACUGACGCUGAUGCGCGAAAGCGUGGGGAGCAAACAGGAUUAGAUACCCCUGUAGUC
rnacentral:rRNA from 1 species